UACGUAGGGGGCGAGCGUUGUCCGGAUUUAUUGGGCGUAAAGAGCUCGUAGGCCGUUCGGUAAGUCAGAUGUGAAAACUCCAGGCUCAACUUGGAGAGGCCAUCUGAUACUGCUGUGACUAGAGUCCGGUAGGGGAGCACGGAAUUCCUGGUGUAGCGGUGAAAUGCGCAGAUAUCAGGAGGAACAUCAGCGGCGAAGGCGGUGCUCUGGGCCGGAACUGACGCUGAGGAGCGAAAGCGUGGGUAGCGAACAGG
rnacentral:rRNA from 1 species